rnacentral:rRNA from 1 species
UACAGAGGGGGGCGAGCGUUGUUCGGAGUUACUGGGCGUAAAGCGCACGCAGGCGGUCUCUUAAGUUUGGAGUGACAGUUGGUGGCUUAACUGCCAAAGUGCUUCGAAAACUGAGAGACUUGAGGGCUUCAGAGGGACACGGAAUUCCGGGUGGAGUGGUGAAAUGCGUAGAGAUCCGGAGGAACACCAAAGGCGAAGGCAGUGUCCUGGGGAGUACCUGACGCUCAGGUGCGAAAGCCAGGGGAGCGAACGGG